GACGAACGCUGGCGGCGUGCUUAACACAUGCAAGUCGAACGAUGAAGCUAGAGCUUUCUCUGGUGAAUUAGUGGCGAACGGGUGAGUAACACGUGAGUAACCUGCCCCGAACUCUGGGAUAACUGCGGGAAACGGUAGCUAAUACUGGAUACGCCCUACGAAGGCAUCUUCUGUAGGUGGAAAGAAUUUCGUUUCGGGAUGGACUCGCGGCCUGUCAGCUGGUUGGUGAGGUAAUGGCUCACCAAGGCGACGACGGGUAGCCGGCCUGAGAGGGUGACCGGCCACACUGGGACUGAGACACGGCCCAGACUCCUACGGGAGGCAGCAGUGGGGAAUAUUGCACAAUGGGCGCAAGCCUGAUGCAGCAACGCCGCGUGAGGGAUGACGGCCUUCGGGUUGUAAACCUCUUUUAGUAGGGAAGAAGCGAAAGUGACGGUACCUGCAGAAAAAGCACCGGCUAACUACGUGCCAGCCGCCGCGGUAA
rnacentral:rRNA from 1 species